AGAUGUUUAUGAUAAUACAGUGGAGAGGCAAAACAAACGCUCUCGAAAUCGAGUAACUGGGUCUUCCUCAAACAACAUCGACCCUAAGCAAUCAAAUCACUUCGAAACUCUCAGCUACAAAUUCGAACGGUAAUCACCUCGAUACUGUUUCUUGUAACCUAUAUGAACCUAUGGAGGGUGUGGAAAUGGAGGAAGUUGAUGAAGAAACAACAAUUGAGCAAAAUCUUACACUGAUUAAUGACAUGGGUUCUGCUAAUAAGGUACCGGUGUAACAUCCUUUGCAAGAAUUUUUCUGUAACGAAUGUAUAUCUAAAUCUUCAAAUAAAUAACAUCAGCCUCUCCCAAAUCUUUCAAAGAAACAAGGCUAUGCGUGUGAGGACUUGCCGCAAUGUAUUCCCCACCCCUUGCAUUAUUAUCCCAGAGUGUCUUCAAGGUUGCAGUUCUAGGGUCAUAAUAAUAGAGUCUGGUGCGAGAAGGUAUGCUGCGGCAGUACCAUAAUAGUAAUUCAUUGUUCUUUGUGAUUGCGAAUGGCUCAUAAUAAUAAUAAUGUGAAUUACGAUUCCUCUGAUGUUGUAUACUAAACUCCUGAACCCAGCAUGACUG